UACGAAGGGGGCUAGCGUUGCUCGGAAUCACUGGGCGUAAAGGGUGCGUAGGCGGGUCUUUAAGUCAGGGGUGAAAUCCUGGAGCUCAACUCCAGAACUGCCUUCGAUACUGAGAGUCUCAGAGUCCGGGAGAGGUGAGUGGAACUCCGAGUGUAGAGGUGAAAUUCGUAGAUAUUCGGAGGAACACCAGUGGCGAAGGCGGCUCACUGGCCCGGUACUGACGCUGAGGUGCGAAAGCGUGGGGAGCAAACAGG
rnacentral:rRNA from 1 species